rnacentral:rRNA from 1 species
UACAGAGGGGGCAAGCGUUGUUCGGAAUUACUGGGCGUAAAGGGCGCGUAGGCGGCCCGCUAAGUCGAACGUGAAAUCCCCGGGCUCAACCCGGGAACUGCGUCCGAUACUGGAAGGCUUGAAUUCGGGAGAGGGAUGCGGAAUUCCAGGUGUAGCGGUGAAAUGCGUAGAUAUCUGGAGGAACACCGGUGGCGAAGGCGGCAUCCUGGACCAACACUGACGCUGAGGAGCGAAAGCCAGGGGAGCAAACGGG